GAUUAACGCUAGCGGCAGGCAUAAUACAUGCCAGUUGAACGGCAGCACAGGUAGCAAUACUGGGUGGCGAGUGGCGCACGGGUGCGUAACACGUAUGCAACCUACCCUAUACAGGCGAAUAACCUUUAGAAAUGAGGGCUAAUACGCCGUAGUAUUACAGAUGGGCAUCUAUUUGUAAUUAAAGAUUUAUCGGUAUAGGAUGGGCAUGCGUCCCAUUAGUUAGUUGGUAAGGUAACGGCUUACCAAGACGAUGAUGGGUAGGGGAUCUGAGAGGACUUACCCCCACACUGGUACUGAGACACGGACCAGACUCCUACGGGAGGCAGCAGUAAGGAAUAUUGGGCAAUGGCCGCGAGGCUGACCCAGCCAUGCCGCGUGCAGGAAGACGGCCUUAUGGGUUGUAAACUGCUUUUAUACGGGAAUAAUAGAGUGUACGCGUACAUUUAUGCAAGUAUCGUAUGAAUAAGCAUCGGCUAACUCCGU
rnacentral:rRNA from 1 species